rnacentral:rRNA from 1 species
CCUACGGGAGGCAGCAGUGAGGAAUAUUGGUCAAUGGGCGGGAGCCUGAACCAGCCAAGUAGCGUGAGGGAUGACUGCCCUACGGGUUGUAAACUGCUUUUAUAAAGGAAUAAAGUGAGCCACGUGUGCCUUUUUGUAGGUACUGUAUGAAUAAGGAUCGGCUAACUCCGUGCCAGCAGCCGCGGUAAUACGGAGGGUCCGAGCGUUAUCCGGAUUUAUUGGGUUUAAAGGGAGCGUAGAUGGGCUGUUAAGUCAGUUGUGAAAGUUUUCGGCUCAACCGUAAAAUUGCAAUUGAUACUGGCAGCCUUGAGUACAGUUGAGGUAGGCGGAAUUCGUGGUGUAGCGGUGAAAUGCUUAGAUAUCACGAAGAACUCCGAUUGCGAAGGCAGCCUAC